rnacentral:rRNA from 1 species
AUGGGCUUGCGUCUGAUUAGCUAGUUGGUGGGGUAACGGCCUACCAAGGCGACGAUCAGUAGCCGGACUGAGAGGUUGAACGGCCACAUUGGGACUGAGAUACGGCCCAGACUCCUACGGGAGGCAGCAGUCGGGAAUAUUGCGCAAUGGAGGAAACUCUGACGCAGUGACGCCGCGUGCAGGAAGAAGGUUUUCGGAUUGUAAACUGCUUUAGACAGGGAAGAAACAAGACAGUACCUGUAGAAUAAGCUCCGGCUAACUACGUGCCAGCAGCCGCGGUAAUACGUAGGGAGCGAGCGUUAUCCGGAUUUAUUGGGUGUAAAGGGUGCGUAGACGGGAAAAUAAGUUAGUUGUGAAAGCCCUCGGCUUAACUGAGGAACUGCAACUAAAACUGUUUUUCUUGAGUACUGGAGAGGAAAGUGGAAUUCCUAGUGUAGCGGUGAAAUGCGUAGAUAUUAGGAGGAACACCAGUGGCGAAGGCGACUUUCUGGACAGAAACUGACGUUGAGGCACGAAAGUGUGGGGAGCAAACAGGAUUAGAUACCCUG